CCUACGGGCGACAGCAGUGAGGAAUAUUGGUCAAUGGACGAGAGUCUGAACCAGCCAAGUAGCGUGAAGGAUGACUGCCCUAUGGGUUGUAAACUUCUUUUAUAUGGGAAUAAAAUGUUCCACGUGUGGGAUUUUGUAUGUACCAUAUGAAUAAGGAUCGGCUAACUCCGUGCCAGCAGCCGCGGUAAUACGGAGGAUCCGAGCGUUAUCCGGAUUUAUUGGGUUUAAAGGGAGCGUAGGUGGAUUGUUAAGUCAGUUGUGAAAGUUUGCGGCUCAACCGUAAAAUUGCAGUUGAAACUGGCAGGCUUGAGUACAGUAGAGGUGGGCGGAAUUCGUGGUGUAGCGGUGAAAUGCUUAGAUAUCACGAAGAACUCCGAUUGCGAAGGCAGCUCACUGGACUGCAACUGACACUGAGGCUCGAAAGUGUGGGUAUCAAACAGGAUUAGAUACCCCAGUAGUC
rnacentral:rRNA from 1 species